GACGAACGCUGGCGGCGUGCUUAACACAUGCAAGUCGAACGGAAAGGCCCUGCUUUUGUGGUGUGCUCGAGUGGCGAACGGGCGAGUAACACGUGAGUAACCUGCCCUUUACUUUGGGAUAACUUCAGGAAACUGGGGCUAAUACCGGAUAGGAGCUCCUGCUGCAUGGUGGGGGUUGGAAAGUUUCGGCGGUUGGGGAUGGACUCGCGGCUUAUCAGCUUGUUGGUGGGGUAGUGGCUUACCAAGUCUUUUACGGGUAGCCGGCCUGAGAGGGUGACCGGGCACAUUGGGACUAAGAUACGGCCCAGAAGCGUACGGGAGGCAGCAGUGGGGAAUAUUGCACAAUGGGCGGAAGCCUGAUGAAGAAACGCCGCGUGCGGGAUGACGGCCUUCGGGUUGUAAACCGCUUUCGCCUGUGACGAAGCGUGAGUGACGGUAAUGGGUAAAGAAGCACCGGCUAACUACGUG
rnacentral:rRNA from 1 species